rnacentral:misc_RNA from 1 species
UACGAAGGGGGCUAGCGUUGCUCGGAAUUACUGGGCGUAAAGGGCGCGUAGGCGGGUGUUUAAGUCAGAGGUCAAAUCCCAGGGCUCAACCCUGGAACUGCCUUUGAUACUGGACACCUAGAGUGUGGGAGAGGUGAGUGGAACUCCGAGUGUAGAGGUGAAAUUCGUAGAUAUUCGGAAGAACACCAGUGGCGAAGGCGACUCACUGGCCCAUUACUGACGCUGAGGCGCGAAAGCGUGGGGAGCAAACAGG